rnacentral:rRNA from 1 species
CCUACGGGAGGCAGCAGUGAGGAAUAUUGGUCAAUGGGCGGAAGCCUGAACCAGCCAAGUAGCGUGCGGGAUGAAGGCCCUACGGGUCGUAAACUGCUUUUGCACGGGGAUAACACCCUCUACGUGUGGCGGUCUGCAGGUACCGUGCGAAUAAGGGCCGGCUAAUUCCGUGCCAGCAGCCGCGGUAAUACGGAGGGCCCGAGCGUUAUCCGGAUUUAUUGGGCUUAAAGGGAGCGUAGGCGGGCGUUAAAGGUAGCUGGAAAAUCCCGGGGCUCAACCGCGCCCCGCAGUUGAAACUGGACGCCUUGAGUGCACAACAGGCAGGCGGAAUUCGUGGUGUAGCGGUGAAAUGCAUAGAUAUCACGAGGAACCCCGAUUGCGAAGGCAGCCGGCCGGGGUGCGACUGACGCUGAGGCUCGAAGGUGCGGGUAUCAAACAGGAUUAGAUACCCUAGUAGUC